rnacentral:rRNA from 1 species
UACGGAGGGGGCUAGCGUUGUUCGGAAUUACUGGGCGUAAAGCGCGCGUAGGCGGCUUUGUAAGUCAGAGGUGAAAGCCUGGAGCUCAACUCCAGAACUGCCUUUGAAACUACAUCGCUAGAAUCAUGGAGAGGUUAGUGGAAUUCCGAGUGUAGAGGUGAAAUUCGUAGAUAUUAGGAAGAACACCAGUGGCGAAGGCGACUAACUGGACAUGUAUUGACGCUGAGGUGCGAAAGCGUGGGGAGCAAACAGG